rnacentral:rRNA from 1 species
GGAUGGACGUUCCGCUGGUGUACCAGUUGUGCCGCCAGGCGCAUCGCUGGGUAGCUAUGAACGGCAGGGAUAAACGCUGAAAGCAUCUAAGUGUGAAGCCCCCCUCGAGAUGAGAUUUCCCAUUCCUAUAUGGAAGUAAGACCCCUGAGAGAUGAUCAGGUAGAUAGGCUGGAAGUGGAAGUGCAGCGAUGCAUGGAGCGGACCAGUACUAAUCGGUCGAGGACUUAACCAAG